rnacentral:rRNA from 1 species
CUACGGGAUGCUCCAGUGGGGAAUCUUGGACAAUGGGCGCAAGCCUGAUCCAGCCAUGCCGCGUGAGUGAUGAAGGCCUUAGGGUCGUAAAGCUCUUUCGCCAGGGAUGAUAAUGACAGUACCUGGUAAAGAAACCCCGGCUAACUCCGUGCCAGCAGCCGCGGUAAUACGGAGGGGGUUAGCGUUGUUCGGAAUUACUGGGCGUAAAGCGCGCGUAGGCGGACCAGAAAGUUGGGGGUGAAAUCCCGGGGCUCAACCCCGGAACGGCCUCCAAAACUCCUGGUCUUGAGUUCGAGAGAGGUGAGUGGAAUUCCGAGUGUAGAGGUGAAAUUCGUAGAUAUUCGGAGGAACACCAGUGGCGAAGGCGACUCACUGGCUCGAUACUGACGCUGAGGUGCGAAAGUGUGGGGAGCAAACAGGAUUAGAUACCCGAGUAGUC